rnacentral:lncRNA from 1 species
CCCAUGAAUCCCUUCCUCUCCAAAUUCUCUCUAAGACCUAACUCAAAUCCUAAUCGCCAUCACCGGCGUGAACCCCUCAUGUGAAUUUUCUAUGUCUUCUCUGAUCGACUUGAUCUUCCAUACGCCACGGCUCUUCGAUUUCUUUGAUCUUUGAGAUCUUCUCAAGGGAACCUCAACUGGUUCCGGUUUGAAACUUUGUUUAUCAGUCUGUUUCAGGCCAUUUUUCGUUUGUGCGUAAGAAAUUCUUCUUGUUAUAUUAUGGAUCUAUGGGUUCUUGACCUAUUUUAUCAUCUCUACUACUUUUUUGGAAACCCUAGCUUUAAAUCCUUCGAUAUAUUUAGACUUGUGAUUGAUCUAUGUGUCUUUUAAGGUUCUCACAUGUUUUCCUCAAAAGAUUUCUCUGAUUUGAAACGAUUUUCUCAUUUCCAGACUAGGGUUUCGAAACCCUUUGCAAAAACGAUUCCUUUCUGAUUUUUAGCAAUUACUUUGUGAUUUUUAAGCUUGUUUAAACAUCACUUGAGUCUUUCAUUUUGCUAGAUUCAUUUUUCUAAGAAACCCUAAUACUUCUGGGUUCGAUUUGAAGUUUGAGUCUGUCUGGGAUGUGUUUGCAUGUCUCUCAUGAACUCUCUAGGUUUCAUGUAUGUUUUAUAUUCUCUUGUGCUUC